rnacentral:rRNA from 1 species
CAGCCGCCACGGUAAUACGAAGGGUGCAAGCGUUACUCGGAAUUACUGGGCGUAAGCGUGCGUAGGCGGUGGUUUAAGUCCGUUGUGAAAGCCCUGGGCUCAACCUGGGAAUUGCAGUGGAUACUGGAUCACUAGAGUGUGGUAGAGGAUAGUGGAAUUUCCGGUGUAGCAGUGAAAUGCGUAGAGAUCGGAAGGAACAUCUGUGGCGAAGGCGACUAUCUGGGCCAACACUGACACUGAGGCACGAAAGCGUGGGGAGCAAACAGGAUUAGAUACCCCUGUAGUCCCUGUCUCUUAUACA